UACGGGGGGAGCAAGCGUUGUUCGGAUUUACUGGGCGUAAAGGGCGCGUAGGCGGCCACCGCAAGUCGGUUGUGAAAUCUCUGGGCUUAACCCAGAAAGGUCAACCGAUACUGCGGGGCUAGAGUGCAGAAGGGGCAACUGGAAUUCUCGGUGUAGCGGUGAAAUGCGUAGAGAUCCGGAGGAACACCAGUGGCGAAGGCGGCUGCCUGGGCCUGGCCUGACGCUGAGGCGCGAAAGCGUGGGGAGCGAUCCGG
rnacentral:rRNA from 1 species